AGGAUGAACGCUGGCGGCGUGCUUAACACAUGCAAGUCGAACGAUGAAAGCCGGAGCUUGCUCUGGCUGGAUUAGUGGCGAACGGGUGAGUAACACGUGAGUAACCUGCCCUUGACUCUGGGAUAAGCACUGGAAACGGUGUCUAAUACCGGAUACGAGCUUCAGCCGCAUGGCUAGGAGCUGGAAAGAAUUUCGGACAAGGAUGGACU
rnacentral:rRNA from 1 species